rnacentral:rRNA from 1 species
UACGAAGGGGGCUAGCGUUGUUCGGAUUUACUGGGCGUAAAGCGCACGUAGGCGGAUCGAUCAGUCAGGGGUGAAAUCCCAGAGCUCAACUCUGGAACUGCCUUUGAUACUGUCGAUCUGGAGUAUGGAAGAGGUGAGUGGAAUUCCGAGUGUAGAGGUGAAAUUCGUAGAUAUUCGGAGGAACACCAGUGGCGAAGGGCGGCUCACUGGUCCAUUACUGACGCUGAGGUGCGAAAGCGUGGGGAGCAAACAGG